rnacentral:rRNA from 1 species
UACAGAGGGUGCGAGCGUUGUUCGGAAUUACUGGGCGUAAAGCGCGCGCAGGCGGCUCUUUAAGUCCACUGGUCAAAUGCCGGGGCUCAACCCCGUGCCCGCCAGGGAUACUGGAGAGCUGGAGACACGUAGAGGCAAGCGGAAUUCCGGGUGUAGCGGUGGAAUGCGUAGAGAUCCGGAAGAACACCGGAGGCGAAGGCGGCUUGCUGGGCGUAGUCUGACGCUGAGGCGCGAAAGCGUGGGGAGCGAACAGG